AUUGAACGCUGGCGGCAGGCCUAACACAUGCAAGUCGAACGAGUGGCGGACGGGUGAGUAAUGUCUGGGAAACUGCCUGAUGGAGGGGGAUAACUACUGGAAACGGUAGCUAAUACCGCAUACCAUCAGAUGUGCCCAGAUGGGAUUAGCUAGUAGGUGGGGUAAAGGCUCACCUAGGCGACGAUCCCUAGCUGGUCUGAGAGGAUGACCGGCCACACUGGAACUGAGAAACGGUCCAGACUGCUACGGGAGGCAGCAGAGGGGAAUAUUGCACAAUGGGGGCAAGCCUGAUGCAGCAAUGCCGCGUGUAUGAAGAAGGCCUUCGGGUUGUAAAGUACUUUCAGCGGGGAGGCGUUACCCGCAGAAGAAGCACCGGCUAACUCCGUGCCAGCAGCCGCGGUAAUAC
rnacentral:rRNA from 1 species